rnacentral:rRNA from 1 species
AUACGUAGGUGGCGAGCGUUGUCCGGAAUUACUGGGCGUAAAGGGCGUGUAGGCGGGGGGACAAGUCAGAUGUGAAAUACCGCAGCUUAACUGCGGGGCUGCAUCUGAAACUGUUCUUCUUGAGUGUCGGAGAGGAAAGUGGAAUUCCCAGUGUAGCGGUGAAAUGCGUAGAGAUUGGGAGGAACACCAGUGGCGAAGGCGGCUUUCUGGACGACAACUGACGCUGAGGCGCGAAAGCGUGGGGAGCAAACAGGAUUAGAUACCCUGGUAGUCCACGCUGUAAACGAUGGAUACUAGGUGUAGGAUGUAUCGACCCCUUCUGUGCCGGAGUUAACACAAUAAGUAUCCCGCCUGGGGAGUACGGCCGCAAGGUUGAA